rnacentral:lncRNA from 1 species
GUUAAGUUUUGGUGGUCAAGUCCAUAUCUCAGAUACUAUAAGCAAUAGGGCUAGUAUAUUCGGUGUAUGGAAGGACUGUAAGGUGUACAUGUCCAACUGGCAGGUGUCAUCUGACCUUGACCUCAUUUUCAUGGUUCAGUGGUUAUAGUUAAAUUUUUGUGUUUUGGUCUGUUUUUUUCGUACUAUAUGCAAUAGGUCUACUAUAUUUGUUAUAUGGAAUGAUUGUAAGGUGUACAUGUCUAGCGGGCAGAUGUCAUGGGACCUUGACCUCAUUUUCAUGGUUCAGUGGUUAUAGUUAAAUUUUUGUGUUUUGGUCUUUUUUUUCAUACUAUAUGCAAUAGGUCUACUAUAUUUGUUGUAUGGAAUGAUUGUAAGGUGUACAUGUCUAGCGGGCAGAUGUCAUGUGACCUUGACCUCAUUUUCAUGGUUCAGUGGUCAAAGUUAAGUUUUGAGUUUUGGUCUUUUUAUCUAAUACUAUAUGCCAUAGGUCAACUAUAUUUGGUGUAUGGAAAUAUUUUAUGAUCUUUAUGUCAGUAGCGCAGGUUUCUUUUGACCCUGACCUAAUUUUCACGGUUCAUUGCACAGUGUUAAGUUUUUGUGUUUUGGUCUAUUUUUCUUAAACUAUAAGUAAUAGGUCAACUACAUAUGUUGUAUAGAGGCAUUGUUAGCUGUACAUGUCUGCCUGGCAUGGUUCAUCUGACCUUGACCUCAUUUUCAUGGUUCAUUGGUCUUUGUUUAGUUAUCUUGGUUAAUGUUAAGUUUAUGAGACAGUUGUAAUAAAGCUUUAUACUUAGGACUAUCUACAUAAUAUCAAUGAUUAGUAUAGAAGGCGAG